rnacentral:rRNA from 1 species
ACGGAAGGCAGCAGUGGGGAAUAUUGCACAAUGGGGGAAACCCUGAUGCAGCGACGCCGCGUGAGUGAAGAAGUUAUUCGUAAUGUAAAGCUCCAUCAGCAGGGAAGAAAAUGACGGUACCUGACUAAGAAGCCCCGGCUAACUACGUGCCAGCAGCCGCGGUAAUACGUAGGGGGCAAGCGUUAUCCGGAUUUACUGGGUGUAAAGGGAGUGUAGGUGGUCUGGCAAGCCAGAUGUGAAAGCCCGGGGCUCAACCCCGAGGACUGCAUUUGGAACUGUCGGACUUGAGUGCAGGAGAGGAAAGUGGAAUUCCUAGUGUAGCGGUGAAAUGCGUAGAUAUUAGGAGGAACACCAGUGGCGAAGGCGGCUUUCUGGACUGUAACUGACACUGAGGCUCGAAAGCGUGGGGAGCAAACAGGAUUAGAUACCCUGGUA